AAAAACAUGUCUUUUUGAUAAAUAAUUUAAAGUUUAAUCUGCCCACUGAUAUAAUAUUAAAGGGCUGCAGUAUUUUGACUGUACAAAGGUAGCAUAAUCAUUAGUCUUUUAAUUGAAGACUUGUAUGAAAGAUUUGAUGAAAUAUAAACUGUCUCUAAUUUAAUUAUAGAAUUUAAUUUUUUAGUUAAAAAGCUAAAAUAUAUUUAAAAGACGAGAAGACCCUAUAGAGUUUUAUAAUUAACAAUUUAAAUUAUUUAUAUAAAAUUUUAAUAUUAUAAAUUAUUAAUUAUUGAAUUGGGGUGAUAAAAAAAUUUAUAAAACUUUUUUUAAAAUAAAACAUAGAUAAGUGAUUAAAAGAUCCAUUAAUAAUGAUUAAAAGAAAAAAUUACCUUAGGGAUAACAGCGUAAUAUUUUUUUUUAGUACAAAUAAAAAAAAAAGUUUGCGACCUCGAUGUUGGAUUAAGAUAAAAUUUAGAUGCAAAAGUUAAA
rnacentral:rRNA from 1 species